rnacentral:lncRNA from 1 species
CGCACGCUUCAGGUCGGCCUCGGCCCACAGAUACUCAAGGAUGAUUGGGAAAUGCAAAAUGAGACUUGUUGUCACUCCCCGUGCUCACAACCGAUUGUCCCAACGAAGAACCCCGAGUCUCAUUCCCACCAUCCAUCGGGGACAUAUAGAACGCAGCUAUCCCGAAUGGAUUCUUUGGUAUAUAUGAGAAUGAAAUGUUUUG